GGAGGUGUCUGGAUUGUCUACUGGGAAUGGAGGUGUCUGGAUUGUCUACUGGGAAUGAAGGUGUCUGGAUUGUCGACUGGGAAUGGAGGUGUCUGGAUUGUCUACUGGGAAUGGAUCCGGAGGUGUCUGGAUUGUCUACUGGGAAUGGAGGUGUCUGGAUUGUCUACUGGAAAUGGAGGUGUCUGGAUUGUCUACUGGGAAUGGAGGUGUCUGGAUUGUCUACUGGGAAUGGAGGUGUCUGGAUUGUCUACUGGGAAUGAAGGUGUCUGGAUAGUCUACUGGGAAUGGAGGUGUCUGGAUUGUCUACUGGGAAUGGAUCCGGAGGUGUCUGGAUUGUCUACUGGGAAUGGAUUCGGAGGUGUCUGGAUUGUCUACUGGGAAUGGAGGUGUCUGGAUUGUCUACUGGGAAUGAAGGUGUCUGGAUUGUCUACUUGGAAUGAAGAUUGUUUACUGGGUAUAAUUAAUAAGUUGUCUGAAUUAUCUACGGGGAAUGAAGGUGGCUGGAUUAUCAACUUGGGAUCUUGGUGCCCACCAAUGAAUUAUCUUUAUUGGUUUUAUAUAUAUAUAUAUAUAUAUAUAUGGAAGAUUGAUCUUUUCUCUAUUUUUCCCUUCUUUCCCCCCUUCCUCUUGUUCAUUUGAUAGCAAGAGGAUCAUAUGUAUGAAAUCUAAGAAAGAUCAAAUUAACUGAGAAUUUAGGAAUAACAAAUUUCAUCUGCAAAAAUACCCUAGAUGGCUGCA